rnacentral:rRNA from 1 species
UACGUAGGGUGCGAGCGUUAAUCGGAAUUACUGGGCGUAAAGCGUGCGCAGGCGGUUGUGCAAGACAGAUGUGAAAUCCCCGGGCUUAACCUGGGAAUGGCAUUGGUGACUGCACGGCUAGAGUGUGUCAGAGGGGGGUAGAAUUCCACGUGUAGCAGUGAAAUGCGUAGAGAUGUGGAGGAAUACCGAUGGCGAAGGCAGCCCCCCUGGGAUAACACUGACGCUCAUGCACGAAAGCGUACGGGGAGCAAACAGG